UAGGGAAUAUUGCUCAAUGGGCGAAAGCCUGAAGCAGCAACGCCGCGUGUGCGAUGAAGGUCUUCGGAUCGUAAAGCACUUUUCUGCGAGAUGAGAAAGGACAGUAUCGUAGGAAUAAGUCUCGGCUAACUACGUGCCAGCAGCCGCGGUAACACGUAGGAGGCGAGCGUUAUCCGGAUUCACUGGGCGUAAAGCGCGUGCAGGCGGUUUGGUAAGUUGGGCGUGAAAGCUCCCGGCUCAACUGGGAGAGGUCGUUCAAUACUACCGAACUAGAGAGUAGAAGAGGAAGAUGGAAUUCCCGGUGUAGUGGUGAAAUGCGUAGAUAUCGGGAGGAACACCAGUGGCGAAGGCGAUCUUCUGGUCUAUUUCUGACGCUCAGACGCGACAGCUAGGGUAGUAAACGGGAUUAGAGACCCCGGUAAUCCUAGCCGUAAACGAUGUGAACUUGGCGUCGGUGGCUUAAACACCAUCGGUGCCGAAGCAAACGCGAUAAGUU
rnacentral:rRNA from 1 species